rnacentral:rRNA from 1 species
UCGAGAAUCAUUCGCAAUGGACGAAAGUCUGACGGUGCGACGCCGCGUGGGGGAUGAAGGCCUUAGGGUCGUAAACCCCUGUCGGGUGCGAGUAAGGGUAUACAUUACGGCAUACUUUGAUAUUAGCACCAAAGGAAGGGACGGCUAACUCCGUGCCAGCAGCCGCGGUAAUACGGAGGUCCCAAGCGUUGUUCGGAUUCACUGGGCGUAAAGCGUGCGUAGGCGGAGAGAUAAGUUUGGCGUGAAAGCCCCGGGCCCAACCCGGAAAUUGCGCUGAAAACUAUCUCCCUAGAGGAUUGGAGAGGAGACUGGAAUUCCUGGUGUAGCAGUGAAAUGCGUAGAUAUCAGGAGGAACACCGGUGGCGAAGGCGAGUCUCUGGACAAUUCCUGACGCUGAGGUACGAAGGCUAGGGUAGCGAAAAGG